UACGUAGGGUGCGAGCGUUAAUCGGAAUUACUGGGCGUAAAGCGUGCGCAGGCGGUUUUGUAAGCCAGAUGUGAAAGCCCCGGGCUUAACCUGGGAAUGGCAUUUGGGACUGCAAGGCUUGAGUGCGGCAGAGGAGACUGGAAUUCCUGGUGUAGCAGUGAAAUGCGUAGAUAUCAGGAGGAAUACCGAUGGCGAAGGCAGGUCUCUGGGCUGACACUGACGCUCAUG
rnacentral:rRNA from 1 species